ensembl:lncRNA novel transcript
GUCCUUGGUUAUAUCACCAAAUUUCAAUUCUUUGGGUGCACUUGGGCGAGCUGAAAAAAAAUGCACUCACGAGUCACUGUUAAUAGUCUGAACUAAUAUUUGUUAAUACUGCCAAAUCACCUUAGAUGAUAAAUGUUUUGUUCCUUACCAAUUACAUUGACAUCAAUUUCCCCAGAAAUUGUUUUCACACGGUUUUCUAAUUUCAGUGUAUAAAUGCCCUUGUCUGAACGUUCACUUGGAGAAAUGACAAGUUCGGCAUAGGCAGACAAGGUCUUCAUUUUCACCCGGUCCCCUGUUUCUAGUACUUUAUCUCCAAAACACCAGGUUGCAGUUGGCCUUGGAUAGCCUGUACUUGGAACCAGGAUCGUGAUAGGAUUUGGGACAAUAACUUCCAGACCAUCUUUAAAUGCACUUAAAUCCAUUGUUGGUUCAACUACAAAGAAGAAAAGUUAAUGAGUUUGCAGUGCCAUAUUUAAGUCCCUGUUGCCCCAAAGUAGCUAUGUGCUAUUCCCCGAUCUAAAAAUAAAAUAUCUAUUUACCAAA